CCCCACCCCCACUAGUCAUGGACCUGCCCUCCUUCUCAGCCCCUCUCCCCUGGUAAUGGCAGCACAUUCGUCUGCCCAGGUGGUUUCCACAUCAGAACUAUGGAGAGAGAGCUCUCGUGAGCCUCCACGUUGCCUUUUUAAACCAAGAGCCCCACCAACACCUUUCAGGGCUGCAUCCCUUUCUCUUUCCUCUGCUCCGCCCUCGUCAAGCCGGGGCCUACAUCUUUGCCCAUCUGGCGUCCAGGGGAAAAUAAUGGCCUGCGAUCUGAAAACAUAUUGAAAUUAGAUGUUAAUACGAGAAUUUAUGAAGACCUCUGAGCUACCUGGACACCCUCCAUGAGGGAGGUGGAGGCUGGGUGUUCCAGCCUGAAUGUGAGGCUGGCUCCUUCCAACGCAGGCGUCCAGAUCCACCUUUACUGUUUGAUAAGCCGCAUCUGUCAGGCAACCGACACUUGUGUGAAAAUUGUUAGUCACUCAGUUGUGUCCAGCUCUCUGCGACCCCAUGGACUGUAGCCCACCAGGCUCCUCUGUCCAUCGGAUUUCCCAGGCAAGAACACUGCAGUGGGUAGGGAAACAACGAUGAUGAAUUGAUGGGGAGCACUGCGUGUCCUGACUUGCUCAUGUCAGCAGUCACAACCCUCCUAAGCGUGGACGUUGCAACCUCCCCCACCACCCCCAUCUUUCAGAGGAGGAGACUGGGGCUCUGAAGGAGAAAUGCCUGGCCAGGUCACCAUCCAGCAGGUGCCUUGUGACAGCACACCACACAUUAUGGCCUUGAACUUCCCACCAGGCCUUCUUCGAAUAAUCCUGGGAGCAUCCUACCGACUUCACAGAGAGCCCCGGGGUUUUCAGCAUCGAUUCCCCUGUGGGUGAUAAGAACUUGAAUCAAAGGCCCCUCUGUCGUCGGAGAAAGACCUCCAGCUUUGCCUCGGCCCAGGCACUCUCUGUCCAGGUCUGGAACCCAUGCUAAUAAAAGCAAGUGUCCUUUUACAGUGCUUUCUAUAAAUCUGGUGGUGACCUUUAAUAAAAAUUUAUGACCCUAAUAAUCCUGUUCUGCACAAUCUGGUCCAGUCACCGCUCACUGGCCAGUAAUCUGCAAACCUUUCAAAUGGAGUGACUGUGCCUGGGCCCGCACCGGGGGUCCUGUUCCAAGUGAUGGGAAUGGCAUGGAGAAUGAUUAAUCCAAACUGCCCUGUGCUGAGCACAAAGCUGUUUUCCUGACGCAGGCCAUUGGGCCGGGAAUCCUAGAAAGAGCAGGAACGGAAGACACCGGAGAAUUUUCAGAGAGCCCAUUAGAGCCGCUGCUGAUCGAGCUUAGCCCCACCUGCCUGACCUUUCCCCCGGCAACCUUCUCUUCCUCCACCUCAUCAGAGGAAGGAGCCAAAAAUAGAAUGGGCUCCAUCCAUACCCAGCUGUUGUGGACAAAAUCCAGGGGCCUCUCCUGAACUCAUGAAUCUGUCCACACUUUGUUUACGGGGUUGGAGAGUGAAGUGCCAGGAGUUUGAGAAAACCUGGGCAGACGUGGGCUUUCAGCAUCUUGUUGCGUGUGAUUUAACCAAUGGGGGCACUUAUGAUCUCCAAGGAAAGGUUGCAGGCCUCAAACACCUUAUCGAGUGUUUGCUUGGCUGUCAUGUUGCAUCAGAUCAGACUGCUUUUGCUCUGAGGCUCUCUGACAGGCAAAUACAGACAUUUGUGCAAAUAGUACAAUGUACCUCAGGCCCCCACCCACAGUGCAUCCUGCAGAGGUCCCAGCUACUUCGGCUCCAUUACUUGGGGUUCAUGAGAAAGAUGCAUCCUGGGUACUUCGAGUGGGGGGUGUUUUUUCUACAAGAGAAGGACCCAUCCAAUGCCACCAGUGUCCUAGGGGCUCCUGUUAACCAGGCCGGCGAGUGCAGUCACCAUCUCAUCCUAUGCUAGGCAGCUUCAGAGCUUCCUCGUCAGUUUCCCAGUUUGAAGAAGGGACAUUUGUAAGUCAUGGGGGCACCUAUUUGCCCCAAGCUCUUCCUCUCUUUCGUGGAGGAGGGAGCAAGGAUUCUGGAAUUCCAGACCACCCCAACAAAGA
ensembl:lncRNA